GGCCUCCGCCAACUAUGGCGGGCGAGCUUGAGGGUGCUAAGCCGCUGAGCGGGUUGCUGAGCGGCCUGGCUCAGGACGCUUUCCAUGGGCACCCGGGCAUCACGGAGGAGCUGCUGCGGAGUCAGCUCUAUCCGGAGGUGCCACCUGAGGAGUUCCGCCCCUUUAUGGCGAAGAUGAAGGGGAUUCUUAAGUCUAUUGCAUUUGCAGACAUGGAUUUCAACCAGCUGGAGGCAUUCUUGACUGCUCAAACCAAAAAGCAAGGCGGGAUCACAUCUGACCAAGCUGCUGUCAUUUCCAAAUUCUGGAAGAGCCAUAAGACAAAAAUCCGAGAGAGCCUUAUGAACCAGAGCCGCUGGGACAGUGGGCUUCGGGGCUUGAGCUGGAGAGUUGAUGGCAAAUCGCAGUCAAGACACUCAGCUCAAAUGCACACUCCUGUUGCCAUAAUGGAGCUGGAAAUAGGGAAAAGUGGACAGAAUCCGUGAGCCACAACUACUGAGCCCGUGUGCCGCAACUACUGAAGCCCGUGCACCUAGAACCUGUUCUCCGCAACAAG